ACCGUCCGCCGGGGACCGGGAAAGCUGAGACACCGCCGGGUUUGGGGCGCCGCAGUCCCGGGAACGGAGGUAGAAGGCCCUGAAGAGGCGUUUCAGGAGGAAUGGGUUUUGCUUCCUGGUCCAGUUGUGCUCACUGGCACACUUCUGCAGCACAGCAGCUUCUCCAGCAUCUGUUCCUGCUUUGAUUGGUGGCCAGAAACACUCAGCAGCCAGCAGUGUUCCUUAGCACCCUAUUGGGCAGUUUUAUAGCAGAGGCUUCCAGGAGACCCCUCCCCAUGAAUACGUUUCCUCAGCAACGUAAAAGUGCCAGAAAAUUCUAGAGGGUGGAUUUAUAGGAAGUUCCACUGGAAGAUUCCCAGUGACUUCUUGCCAUUUAAUGAGCCACAGCCACACUCUCUUCAAAAGGGUCUCAAUCUGCCCUGGCUGGAGGCGAGAGGCUCCUCUUUGGGAACUCUAUCACAGCAUUAGAGUAGCAGCUGUUCCUUAUAUCUGCUAUUGCUAUACUCUUUAAAGCUCUCUAGUUCUUAUUAGCCAGUGCUUCAUUAUUCUAAUACCCUGUUAUAGCUAAUAAUUCCUCAUAUAUUAAACUGUCUUUAUUCAAAUGAGCAUGGUUUGUCUUCUGAUUAGACCUUGACUGAUGAAGAUAUCUUAAGCUUUUCCAUGGAUCCAUCUAUGCCUGGACCUUGUAUAUAGAAGGAAUUCAAUGAAUACAGUCCCUUAAUAGCAUCAUGACACACAGUUUUCUUAUGUAGUUGUCACAAUUUCAGGCCCUUUCAUCCUUACAUUUAUUGAGCAGUUAUUGUCUGUGUUCAGGAAUCUUGCUGUGUGGCAGGAGAUAAGAGGAGAGAAUCAGUAGCUAGAAGAAUACAACAGCUAAAGUGGCCUUGGUGAAUAGUCCAGAAUGAUAAAAAACUUAGAUCACUAAAAAAAAUUGCAUGAGAUGACACUGCAGAGAUAAGGUAGAGUCAGAUGAUGACAGGCCUUGACUUCUAUUGGGACAGGCAGUUUGCUGUGGCCUUGAGCAUCUCUGCAUGUGCUUGCGAAGUAUGCCAAACACAAGGCCUAACUUUCCCCUAAUACUGAACCAUUUCUAGCUAGUCACAUCGGCAUUUAACUAGGUUAAGAUGACCACAGCAUAACUACCAUACAACAGCUCACUCCCUCAGGGAAGGAGGCUGGUUGGUUUGCCACUUGCUACAAAAGAUGCUAGGCCCUUAGCCCUGGAUCCCUCAGUCAUGGUGCAAACCACUGCAUGUGCAACCACUGUCCGGGCCCAUUGCAUUUACUCCAUAGGACUUGAGGACAGGCCAACCAGUGCUACCUUGCUGGUACUCCUACUGUAUGCUGUGUUGAAUAAUAAAUUUCUUCAUCUGAUCCACCAAAUCUCAUCUACAUUGGUACCAAUGGAGUUGUGGCUGGUGAACCUGCUUUCUUGCUUAGUCGUCUCCGUUGGAGUCUUGUUAUUUCUUGCUAUUCUCUAGGAGGUUGGGGCUCUUCUCUAACAAAGGGUGCCAUGACACAGGCACACACACACACUACAAAAUGAAAAUAAACAUGAACUAGAAAGAUGUUUCCUUAUUCAAGAAAUGCAGAUAAAUGGCAAAGCUGUUGGAAACCAGAAAACCAUGUAAUUUUGAGUAUUUAAAAUCAAUCCUGUAUUGUGAUACACUAAGACCAAACUUGAAUGUUAUUCCACAUAAGAAUCUAGCCAACAGAAUGUAGUUCAGAUUUGGGAAAUGAUGGUGAGGAAACUAUAUUUUAUGGAAUUGCUAAUACAUUUAAAACAGUAGUUGGUAAGAAAAAAGCGUGUUCUGGGCCAGGUGUGGCGGCUCACGCCUGUAAUCCCAGUACUUUGGGAGGCCGAGAUGGGCGGAUUACCUGAGGUCAGGAGUUCGAGACCAGCCUGGCCAAUGUGGCGAAACCCCGUCUCUACUAAAAAUACAAAAAUUAGCCGGGAGUGGUGAUGUGUGCCUGUAGUCCCAACUACUUGCGGGGCUGAGGCAGGAGAAUCGCUUGAACCUGGGAGGCGGAGGUUGCAGUGAGCCAAGAUCAAGUCACUGCACUCCAGCGUGGGCAACAGACCAAGACUCCGUCUC
rnacentral:lncRNA from 10 species